GUUUGCGAGGCUGGCCCUGAGGCAAAUUGCGAGCCAGGUAUCGGUGUCCUGCUGGUACUGCUGUGAUGGGGCGUGCAGAGAGCUUUUUCCUGUGGACCUGCAGUUAGAAAUACACAAAGACCAGAGGACCUCAUGUAUGCAUGGAGGACCUCACACUGGGUACCUCACAUUGGGUACCUCAUAGCGGCUGCCUCAGGAGGCCCCUGGCAACCAGCAUUCUGCUUUCUGACUCUAAGAAUGAAAACUCCAGGGACCUCGUGUAAGUGGAAUCAUACAGUAUUUGUCUUUUUGUGACUGGCUUGUUUCACUUAGCAAAAUGUCCUCAAGAUUCAUCCAUGCUGUAGCCUGUGUCAGAAUUUCCUUCCUUUUUAAGGCUGAAUAAUAUUCCAUUCUAUGUGUGUACCACAUCUUGUUUAUCCGUUCAUCUGCUGAUGGACCCUUGCGUUCCUUCCACCUUUUGGCUAUUAAACUGAUUUUUAAAAUCAUGCAUUUGUUCAGAAACUUUAAAGAAAGUUUUAAAGUACUUUUCCAUAUAUGAUCUUGCUUUAUUCUACGUAUCUUCUUCAUUGCACAUAGGAAUAAAUUCAUAGGGUUACUAUUUUACAAGUUUUGAAAGGGAAGUCAAUCACGAAAGGUGGAAAACCACCAUGCAAAGCAUGCCAAUUGCAACCAGUCCAUGGAGCAGCCUUAACAAGGGCACAGAGGGUGAAGAGGCCCCAGCUCUGUUCUCUGGGGCAGCCCUGGGUAUCGGGUUACCCCUGACACCCAGAUUGGGGCAGGCAGGAGAAGGAAGGGCUUGCUGAGACCCUGGCAUUUAUGAUCUGCUGUCCUGUUUUUUGACUGCAGGCAAAAAAUACAAUGGGUUCAAUGUUGCUAUAACAUAAAGGAGGUCAGAAUGCAAAGAAGAUCAAACUCCCUUGUAAUUCGUUUGUUAGACCUAAUGUUUCAUAGCGCAGGAUUAGGGAGAUUUUUCAUCAUAGUUAUCCCUAUCAUAAAGAAACUUCUAGAGUUAAUGAUUAGAGAAAGCAGCUGAAGAAUCUGACAAGUAUUUGAUGAGCUCACCAACAUUCAUUCAGCCAUUCAACAAAUAUUUUUAAGGACCUGGUGGGUAUCAGCAAUUUCACAGGGGUUGUCUCACUUUGACCUUGCAAGAACCCUCUGCAGCAGGCCUGUUCAGUCACAUUUUAUAAGGUUAGUACCAGGCACGGUGCUGAGGGCAGCACAGCAUGUGGGCCCUGCAGGCAGGGGAGCCUGGCCUGGCUCCACAUUAGCAGCUGGGCCACCUGCAAAAGCGAUUUUGCCCCCCUGAGUUUCAGUUUCCACAUCUCUAAAAUGAGGCCGAUAAGAACGUCCACCUCCUUGGGCUGUUGAGGAUGGAAUGAGAUAGGUGCAUAAGGUUUAGCCCAUUGAUUGGCAGACAGGUGGCAUUCAAUACAUAUCACCCAUUAUUGCAUGGAUGCAUUUCUUUCAGUUGACUUGCCCAACAACCCCAUGAGGACUAUAUUCUUAAUAUGCCCAUUUUACAGAUGAGAAUACAGUAGCUCAGAGAGGGUGAAUAACCAUCCAAGAUCUUGUGUGCCCGCAGUAAAUAACGGGUGGCGUUCAAACCUGUAGUCUGGGCCAGCCUGGUGGCGUAGCAGUUAAGUUUGCACGUUCCACUUCGGUGGCCCGGGGUUCGCCAGUUCGGAUUCCAGGUGUGGACAUGGCACCACUUGGCAAGCCAUGCUGUGGCAGGCGUCCCACAUAUAAAGUAGAGGAAGAUGGGCACAGACGUUAGUUCAGGGCCAGCCUUCCUCAGCAAAAAGAGGAAGAUUGGUAGCAGAUGUUAGCUCAGGGCUAAUCUUCCUCAAAAAUAAGCUGGAGUCUAGUUCCGAUCCCAGAUCUCCAUUCGACAGCUGUCUGUGGAGCUGGACCCCCCGGCCAGGAAGUCUGUGAGGCAUGAUGACACCACGCUCCACUGUCCUGGGAUGGCUGUCCUGACCGCAGCUGGGGGAAGUCAACAGGCCGUGCUCAGUCCCAGGAGGUGGUCUGGGCCCCAGCAGCAUCCUUAACUACACACUGCCACUGGGGUACAAAACCUCUAGACCCCAGCUCUCAACGAAUGCCCAUGCCAAUGACGUGACCCGCUCUCAUCUGCAAACCCCGAGACUCUUUUCCUGAGUCUUCAUACGCCUCCCUCCUCACCUCCGUCUUCUCAUCUCUCAUCGCGUCUUUGCCUUCCCG
ensembl:lncRNA